GACGGGUCCCCGCACAAGCAGCGGAGCGUGUGGUUUAAUUCGUUGCUACACGAAGAACCUUACCUGGGUUUGACAUAGCAGUGGUAGGGAAGCGAAAGCAGACCGACCUUCGGGGAGCUGUUACAGGUGUUGCAUGGCUGUCGUCAGCUCGUGUCGUGAGAUGUUCGGUUAAGUCCGCUAACGAGCGCAACCCGCGUUGUGUGUUACAAGUGUCACACAAUACCGCCGGUAUUAAGUCGGAGGAAGGUGCGGAUGACGUCAAGUCAGCAUGACCUUUAUAUCCAGGGCUACACACACGCUACAAUGGUCAGCACAAUAGGUUGCCAAGUCGUGAGACGGAGCCAAUCCUCCAAAGCUGGCCUCAGUUCAGAUUGUAGGCUGCAACCCGCCUGCAUGAAGUUGGAGUUGCUAGUAACCGCAGGUCAGCUAUACUGCGGUGAAUACGUUCCCGGGGAUU
rnacentral:rRNA from 1 species